CUUCCGGGUGUCGGGGGCUGCGGGAGGACCCGACGUGAAGUCCGGGGGAGAACAUUUGUGCGUUGUGGGAGUGACGUCAGACGGGCGAGACCAAGUGUGUGAGAAGAGAAGGGUGUGUUGGGGUACUUGAGGAAUAUUUUAGGUGUCAGGGAAGUAGGGGGUAAGGAUGGGGUUUAGACAAAUAGGUCGGUAGUAAGGGGUGUAACUAGGGGUGGGGAUAGGUAAAUCAGAAAUGUGUAGGGGAGGGUUAAUUGAAUUAAGAGUGGGAUGGUUUGGGCCAGGUAGGAUAUAUUCGGGUGCAAAUCAUGUAGGUGGGGCAGAAGGGUCUGAGGUGAGCUGGUGACAACACCUGGCCCUUAGUCCAGCCAAGGGCUGAAUAAAUUCAGGCCAACGGCCUUGCUCACAUCCCACCACUGCCUCCAAUCCUUCCACCGCCGCAAGGCUCAUCCUGGUAACACACACACAUACACAGACAUCCAUUCACACUUCCACACACACACACACACACACACACACACACACACACACACACACACACACACACACACACACACACACACACACACACACACACACACACACACACACACACACACAAACACACCCAUACACAGACCUACACAUCCACUCACUCAUCCCUCACAUACAAACACGUGCAUUAACACACACUCAUACACACCAACACAUACACAUUUUGCAUUCAUACUUUGAUCAGGAUAUGAACUUGGUAGUGAUGCAUGCACAUAUAUCAGUGCACACACCCAGUUGUAUUAGAAAGACGGAACUACGAAGGAAGGGGAGAGAGACAGAAAGAAAUAAAGAAAAGAGGAAGGAAAGAAAUUAAAAAAGAAAGAAAGAAAGAAAGAAAGAAAGAAAGAAAGAAAGAAAGAAAGAAAGAAAGAAAGAAAGAAAGAAAGAAAGAAAGAAAGAAAGAAAGAAAGAAAGAAAGAAAGAAAGAAAGAAAGAAAGAAAGAAAGAAAGAAAGAGAGAGGAAAAGAGCGAGAGAGAAGGGAGCCCCCCGCGGUGUGGCAGAGAGCGGUCAAUACCAGCGUUAGCCGUGAUGGACGUUGACCCUGGGGCUGUGGCAGGAAGUAGUUUUACUUCCCCCCUCUCCUUCUUCGCCCCCACCUCCCUGACGUCUCCCCCCAGCGAGCCAUU
ensembl:lncRNA